GUAUAAUAUAUUUCUUGUUGCAAAGGCUUCAAACGUAUAGGACUUUGUAAAUGUUAUUACUGCUUACUUAAUUUCAUAUUAUUUAGCCAAUGGAAUUAGGCUAUUAUUAUUACGAGUGUCUUAAAAUUACACUAAUGUUCAUUUGCAAUUUAAACAGGAAUUCAGUUGUUCACUUAUUCACAUCCAAUUAGUUUUCUGUCUGUAAAUAACCCACUAUUCAAGAUUUAGAAAUAACAGUCGUUGAUUAAGUGCUUUUGCCUAACAUUGAUGUUAGUAUUUGAUAAAUAACUGAACAGAAAACAUACAAAAAUUGUGCAGAGAAAUAUCUCAAAGAGAAACACUACAUGUUAUACAGUGUUAUGUUUCUGUCAGUGAGAAACUCUAUAAAACAAAAGAAGGUUUGUGGGAGUUUAUCACCAUUUUUAACACCAUUUAUCCCACUGUGUUUGCAAACCGGUCAAAUGCAUCGCGUGCUGCGCCCAAUACCCGGACCAAAAAUCGGACUAUGAUAGCAAAUAGCUCACAGCUGUCCGCUAUAAUGGAGAAUAUACUCAAAAUCGGGACUUUAUCGCGUGAUUAAUAAUGCCACUUGUAUUUGACUUCUAAUAAGAUAAUUAGAACUGUUCAGAUAAUAAUAGUUAGAAAUUAUAUAUAUACAUAGUUAAGCACAUUUCUCAUAGUAUACAAAGUAAUUCUUGAUAGAAUGAUUAAUACAAUAAAUUCAUAUUUACAUGAAUUCAUGACUUAACUAUACUACUAUAAACACAUAUUAGACUUUUAAUAAUAUAAUAUAUAAAAGAUAUAUGUAAUACUUAAGUUCAUUCAGAGCGAUGUUGUACUUAAAUGCAAUAGUUAUUUAGGUCAAACUAACUGUAAUCAUACAUAUGUAGGUAUGUCCGAAUAAUAAUAUGAUAAUGAGGUUAACCAUAGUUAACUGUAAAACGCUAUUGAUUGCAAAGGCUACAUUAGGUAGUACGUAAUAUUCUACAAUUAAUACAUAUAUACA